AACGAACGCUGGCGGCAUGCCUAACACAUGCAAGUCGAACGAGACCUUCGGGUCUAGUGGCGCACGGGUGCGUAACGCGUGGGAACCUGCCCUUAGGUUCGGAAUAACUCCCCGAAAGGGGUGCUAAUACCGGAUAAUGUCUUCGGACCAAAGAUUUAUCGCCUUUGGAUGGGCCCGCGUUGGAUUAGCUAGUUGGUAGGGUAAAAGCCUACCAAGGCGACGAUCCAUAGCUGGUCUGAGAGGAUGAUCAGCCACACUGGGAAUACGACACGGCCCAGACUCCUACGGGAGGCAGCAGUGGGGAAUAUUGGACAAUGGGCGAAAGCGUGAUCCAGCAAUGCCGCGUGAGUGAUGAAGGCCUUAGGGUUGUAAAGCUCUUUUACCCGGGAUGAUAAUGACAGUACCGGGAGAAUAAGCUCCGGCUAACUCCGUG
rnacentral:rRNA from 1 species